GAUGAACGCUGGCGGCGUGCUUAACACAUGCAAGUCGAACGGUGAACACGGAGCUUGCUCUGUGGGAUCAGUGGCGAACGGGUGAGUAACACGUGAGCAACCUGCCCCUGACUCUGGGAUAAGCGCUGGAAACGGCGUCUAAUACUGGAUAUGUGACGUGACCGCAUGGUCUGCGUUUGGAAAGAUUUUUCGGUUGGGGAUGGGCUCGCGGCCUAUCAGCUUGUUGGUGAGGUAAUGGCUCACCAAGGCGCCGACGGGUAGCCGGCCUGAGAGGGUGACCGGCCACACGAGGACUGAGAGACGGACCAGACGCCUACGGGAGGCAGCGGUGGGGAAUAUUGCACAAUGGGCGCAAGCCUGAGGCAGCAACGCCGCGUGAGGGAUGACGGCCUUCGGGGUGUAAACCUCUUUUAGCAGGGAAGAAGCGAAAGUGACGGUACCUGCAGAAAAAGCGCCGGCUAACUACGUG
rnacentral:rRNA from 1 species